CGAACGCUGGCGGCGUGCUUAACACAUGCAAGUCGAGUGCGCGUUUCCGUAGCAAUACGGGAAUGGCGCACGGCGCACGGGUGCGUAACACGUGGGUAAUCUGCCCUCUGAUGGGGAAUAACCCGCCGAAAGGCGGGCUAAUACCGCAUAACAUUCCUUGGACUCCGGUUCGAGGAUUCAAAGGCGCAAGUCGUCGGAGGUGGAGCCCGCGCACGAUUAGCUAGUUGGUAGGGUAAUGGCCUACCAAGGCUAUGAUCGUUAGCUGGUCUGAGAGGAUGGCCAGCCACACUGGAACUGAGACACGGUCCAGACUCCUACGGGAGGCAGCAGUGGGGAAUCUUGCACAAUGGGCGAAAGCCUGAUGCAGCGACGCCGCGUGGGGGAUGAAGCUUCUCGGAGUGUAAACCCCUUUCGACCGGGACGAAUGCCCGCAAGGGACUGACGGUACCGGUAUAAGAAGCCCCGGCUAACUACGUGCCAGCAGCCGCGGUAAGACGUAGGGGGCCAGCGUUGCUCGGAAUUACUGGGUGUAAAGGGUUCGUAGGCGGUGUGGCAAGUCGGGAGUGAAAUCUCUGGGCUUAACUCAGGGGCUGCUUCCGAAACUG
rnacentral:rRNA from 1 species